rnacentral:rRNA from 1 species
UGGGGAAUAUUGCACAAUGGGGGAAACCCUGAUGCAGCGACGCCGCGUGAGCGAAGAAGUAUCUCGGUAUGUAAAGCUCUAUCAGCAGGGAAGAAGAAUGACGGUACCUGAGUAAGAAGCACCGGCUAAAUACGUGCC